GUAGUGGAGUAAAAGGCGCUUUGCCCGGUGAGGGGAGAAAUGAGAGCGAUCUGGAAGGGGUCUGCAAAACCCGGGUUGGAUUAGACAGAGAUGGGAGGAACGAAGGCAGCUGCGACAGGGCCAAAUGCACCCCGGGCACGCAAAUUUCGGGCCGGAUUCUUCCUCGGGAGACGGAGUAAUGCGUCAUGCCUAAUGCAGUGGAAACAAGCAAGACCUGGCCUAGAGUUUCCAGACCUGGGCUCGCAGGGGGCUCCGGGAGGGGGCUAUUUAGUGGCUGAGGCGGCGUGGGCUGCCCUCGUCUUCCUGGCAGCGACGUGCAAGAAGGAGGGGCAAAAGGAGGGCUGGACUCGGGCACGAAAGGAUCUGGAGCGCCGGCUGCACCGAAGCAGGCAGGAAACACACUCCGUGUAUACCAGAAGACGAUAAAUUCUGCCUGAACUUCUGGCCUUGAGGAAAUCACUGUUGAUCUUCAGGUGAGGAAACAGAAAUGGAUAGAGCCCAAGCAUCUGGCUGAACAUCAUACAGCCUGCAAGAAGGGAGGGAAGCACGCAAACUCAGGCAGUCAGUUCCAAAACCCGGGCUCACAGCCACCACUCCUGUCAAAGAGAAAGCAGAACUAAACUCCUGCUCUAACGGAUUUUCAGUUCUGGUGCAGAAGGUGAAAACAAAUAAGCAGAUAAGUGGAUAUACAACGCAACAUCAGGGAGAGCUGUGAAGAGACAUCGAGCAGCGUAAAGAGCGU
ensembl:lncRNA